rnacentral:lncRNA from 1 species
UAAAACCGGUUAUUCCGGUGAUCCGAUAAUUCGAUUUACAGUUUUAAAAAUAUACAUAUUUUAAAAAUCACUAAAACCCGAGACUAACCGAUUGAACCAAUGGAUGACUUAUAUGUAAUCAAAUUUGAUUUUUAAAUUUUUAUAGUUUCAUAGUUUGUCACUUCUUAAUCCAAAUUUUAAAGUUCAUUGUUUUGCAAUUUUAUGAAAUUAUGACGUUUCUACAAAAACUUUAUAGAGAAAAUUAUAGAUAUAAAAUAAGUAAA